UCACCCAGUGGGAGCCUCCAUCCUCAGAAGGCAGGUUCUCAUUAAGUUGCUGAGGCUGGCCUUGAACUCAAGAGUCCUCCUGCCUCAGCCUCCUGAGUAGCUGGGAUCACAGUCGGUGAUUCUGAGUCUUAUCAAGAUGGAGUCAGAGUGGAGCGCAGGGUCGGGCCCGUGGACAGUGCUAGAGGUUGACGGACGGCUGCUUCCUCCACAGGUCACCUUCACUUCCUGUAUUCUGCACAGAAGCUGCAGCCCCAGCUCACAGAAAACCAGUUUCUGGGCACCUCCAGGCAUGGGGAGCGAGGGGACCACAGCCUGUGUCCUGCAUCCAUG